rnacentral:rRNA from 1 species
GACGAACGCUGGCGGCGUGCUUAACACAUGCCAGUCGAACGGAAAGGCCCUGCUUUUGUGGGGUGCUCGAGUGGCGAUCGGGUGAGUAACACGUGAGUAACCUGCCCUUGACUUUGGGAUAACUUCAGGAAACUGGGGCUAAUACCGGAUAGGAGCUCCUGCUGCAUGGUGGGGGUUGGAAAGUUUCGGCGGCUGGGGAUGGACUCGCGGCUUAUCAGCUUGUUGGUGGGGUAGUGGCUUACCAAGGCUUUGACGGGUAGCCGGCCUGAGAGGGUGACCGGCCACAUUGGGACUGAGAUACGGCCCAGACUCCUACGGGAGGCAGCAGUGGGGAAUAUUGCACAAUGGGCGGAAGCCUGAUGCAGCAACGCCGCGUGCGGGAUGACGGCCUUCGGGUUGUAAACCGCUUUCGCCUGUGACGAAGCGUGAGUGACGGUAAUGGGUAAAGAAGCACCGGCUAACUACGUG